rnacentral:rRNA from 1 species
ACGGGAGGCAGCAGUGGGGAAUAUUGGGCAAUGGGGGCAACCCUGACCCAGCAACGCCGCGUGAAGGAAGAAGGCUUUCGGGUUGUAAACUUCUUUUACCAGGGACGAAGAGAGUGACGGUACCUGGAGAAAAAGCUACGGCUAACUACGUGCCAGCAGCCGCGGUAAUACGUAGGUAGUAAGCGUUGUCCGGAUUUACUGGGUGUAAAGGGCGUGUAGGCGGAGAUGCAAGUCAGGAGUGAAAUCUAUGGGCUCAACCCAUAAACUGCUUUUGAAACUGCAUCCCUUGAGUAUCGGAGAGGCAGGCGGAAUUCCUAGUGUAGCGGUGAAAUGCGUAGAUAUUAGGAGGAACACCAGUGGCGAAGGCGGAUUGCUGGACGACAACUGACGGUGAGGCGCGAAAGCGUGGGGAGCAAACAGGAUUAGAUACCCUGGUA